AGGAAGGAGGAGUGGAAGGGAAAUGGCAGGCACAUGCAGUCCUGAGCUGGGCCCCCUUGCCUUCGCAGUCGUGCCUAGUAAACAGCUCUCUGAACUUUGGUACAUUUGUUCUGACUGAUGUCACUAUCAGCUGAUUUCACUUUCGUUUCCUAACUUGCCAGUGGCCCAUGACUUUUCAGAAAUGAGAGCAACUAAGAGGUCUUUCUUGGCUCUAUGAGAACCUGGUGGGAUUCCUGAAGAUAAAGUCCAUGAAAAUGAAGCUCCAUACAAGACUAUGGCCACCAGGAGUUUCUCACUUUCAAGCUAGUGCGCACUCAGCCUCUGGCAAUUUGUUAAAAUCACUGUUUAAGUGUUCCUACCAGUUUGUGAUUCUAGCAGCUUCUGCUUCAGACAAGCAGAUCUCAGCAGUGACUCUCUGGAUUUGUCUGUCUCUUCAGAUUUCAGGGUGGUGGUUUACUUGUCAGCCUCAGUUCUCUGAUGGAUCCAAUAAGUUGCUGAUUUUUAGUUUGUUCAGCUUUUUUUUGUUGUAAGGACAGGAAUGUUGACUUUCAAGCAUUAUUCAUGUUGGAGCUAAAACGAGAAGACCCCUUACUAUCUGUUUAAAUAGUAAGUCUAUAUUUUCUUCUAAGAGUAGUUUUAACUCCUACAUUUGUUUCUAUGAUCCAUUUUCUAUUAUUUUUAGUGUAUGGUAUAAGGAACACGGCCAACUUCAUUCUUUUGCAUGUGGAUAUCCAGUUGUCCCAGUACCAUUUGCUGAAAAGACUAUUUUUUUCCCCAUCCAAUUGUCCUGGCAUCUUUGUUGAAAAAUCAAUUGAAAUAUAUAUAAAGGUUUAUUUACAUAUUUUCAAUCCUAUUUCAUUUAUCUAUAUGUUUACCCUUAGGCCAGUACCACAUAGUCUCGAUUACUAUAGCUUAGUUGUCAGUUUUGAAAUCAGGAAUCCUCAAACAUUGUUCUUUAUCAAAAUUGCUUUGGUUAUUCUGGGUCCCUUGUGUUUCCAUAUAAAUUUCAGAUUCGGUUUGUUAGUUUCUGCACAAAAGGUAGCUGAUAUUUUGAUAGGGAUUGCACUGAAUCUGUCAAUUUGAGGAGUAUUGCCAUCUAGCAAUAUUAAAUCUUCUGAUCCAUGACCAGAGUUAUUUUGCCAUUUAUUUAGAGCUUCUUUAAUACAGUUCAACUGUGUUUUUUGUAGUUUUCAGUUUAUAAGUCUUGUACUUCUUUUGUAAAAUUUAUUCCUAAGUAUUUUGUUCUUUCUGAUGCUAAUGUAAAUGGAAUUGUUUUCUUAAUUUCAUUUUUUAAAUGUUCAUUGCUAGUGUAUAGAGGUACAAUUGAUUUUUAUAACAGGUUUUUGAGAUGUAAUUCACAUACCAUACAGUUCAUUCACUACAACUGA
rnacentral:sRNA from 1 species